GACGAACGCUGGCGGCGUGCUUAACACAUGCAAGUCGAGCGGUAAGGCCCUUUCGGGGGUACACGAGCGGCGAAUGGGUGAGUAACACGUGGGUGACCUGCCCUCAGCUCUGGGAUAAGCCUGGGAAACUGGGUCUAAUACUGGAUAUGACUCCACGGUGCAUGUCGUGGGGUGGAAAGCCUUGUGCGGCUGAGGAUGGGCCCGCGGCCUAUCAGCUUGUUGGUGGGGNGAUGGCCUACCAAGGCGACGACGGGUAGCCGGCCUGAGAGGGCGACCGGCCACACUGGGACUGAGACACGGCCCAGACUCCUACGGGAGGCAGCAGUGGGGAAUCUUGCGCAAUGGGCGAAAGCCUGACGCAGCGACGCCGCGUGAGGGAUGACGGCCU
rnacentral:rRNA from 1 species